rnacentral:rRNA from 1 species
UACAGAGGUCUCAAGCGUUGUUCGGAUUCAUUGGGUCGUAAAGGGUGCGUAGGCGGCGCGGUAAGUCGGGUGUGAAAUCUCGGAGCUUAACUCCGAAACUGCAUUCGAUACUGCCGUGCUUGAGGACUGGAGAGGAGACUGGAAUUUACGGUGUAGCGGUGAAAUGCGUAGAUAUCGUAAGGAAGAUCAGUGGCGAAGGCGGGUCUCUGGACAGUUCCUGACGCUGAGGCACGAAGGUCAGGGGAGCAAACGGG